rnacentral:lncRNA from 1 species
UGCCUGGAUGCCCUGCUUACCCAGCCUGGCACUAAGGCAAAACCUAAGUAGCCCUUCCUGUUCUCAUCUGUCUUGAACUCCUUGAGGUUAGUGCAGAUGGAGGCAAGAUCAGGAGUUCGUGAUCACAGAGACACCAGCAGCAUCAACCCACAAUCUUGGGCCUCUGGAAUGUCAGUGACAAACUAGGUUCCAAGUAUAUAUAGGCAACACAAAGAGAGAACCAUUCUCUGCUUUCAAUAGGACAGAAGAGCUCCUUGGCACUGGAUGCCUCCGGGUCUGGUUGAGAGAGGAAUGGUUAGGAGACUGUUCUGAGGAUACGCAGACAUCAUCCAAAGCUUCCUACAUUCAGAUGAGGACAGAGGUUGGGCCAGAGCUUUGUAAGCUUGUUACCUAAGGAUGGUUCUGACCAUGUAAGCAGAUCACAGAAGCACUGUUCACAAUAGCAAAGACUUGGAACCAAUCCAAAUGCCCAUCAAUGAACACCUGGAUAAAGAAAAUGUGGCACAUACACAGCAUGGAAUACUAUGCAGCCAUAAAUAAGGAUGAAUUCAUGUCCUUUGCAGGGACAUGGAUGAAGCUGGAAAACAUCAUUCUCAGCAAACUAAGCUGGAGGCAAAGGAUGCCAAGAUGGGAAAGCCACAUAAUGGAAGGAUCCUGGAUUUCAGAGCUGUCACUUGGAGGAGGGGCACCC